GACGAACGCUGGCGGCGUGCCUAAUACAUGCAAGUUGAGCGCUGAAGGUUGGUACUUGUACCAACUGGAUGAGCAGCGAACGGGUGAGUAACGCGUGGGGAAUCUGCCUUUGAGCGGGGGACAACAUUUGGAAACGAAUGCUAAUACCGCAUAAAAACUUUAAACACAAGUUUUAAGUUUGAAAGAUGCAAUUGCAUCACUCAAAGAUGAUCCCGCGUUGUAUUAGCUAGUUGGUGAGGUAAAGGCUCACCAAGGCGAUGAUACAUAGCCGACCUGAGAGGGUGCUCGGCCACAUUGGGACUGCGACACGGCCCAAACUCCUACGGGAGGCAGCAGUAGGGAAUCUUCGGCAAUGGCCGAAAGUCUGACCGAGCAACGCCGCGUGAGUGAAGAAUGUUUUCGGAUCGUAAAACUCUGUUGGUAGUGAAGAACGUUGGUGAGAGCGGAAAGCUCAUCAAGUGACGGUAACUACCCAGAAAGGGACGGCUAACUACGUG
rnacentral:rRNA from 1 species